AGAAACUGAGCAUGUGUGACUCAGCUCAUUUGAGCCUUGCUUAUGUGUUUUCUCCACGUGGACCCCAGUGAAGGAGGGAGAAGUGUGCUUGUUCUGUCUAGCUUUGAUUUUGUGGAACAGAUAAUUGAAGAGGAUCAGGGUGCUACAUAAACUACAAGCAAUGAUGGAAUCAGGGAGACCAGUUAAAUGACUAAUGCAGAGACUGGGUCUCACUACAUUGGCCAGGCCGGAUUUGAAUUCCUGGGCUCAGCCUCCCGAGUAGCUGGGACUACAAGCAUGUACCACCAUGCCCAGUUUUCUGCAGCAGUUUUUAUAAACCAAAUUUUCCAAAUUAGAAAGACUGACCAAAGAAGCACUUUUAUACGAGGAAUAACUUACGUAUGGAGAAUCUCAACUUGGACCAGUCAAGACCAACUCCAGCGAUGAAGCCAGAAUGUAAUAUAUCUCAAAAGGCUAAAGAAGUCCAUUUUCCCAGAUGUAAAUUAUAAUUAAAAAAUAGUGAGCCAAACUCUAAUAUCCCAAUGUGAUAAUCUUUCAAAUAAAAAUAUGGGCUGUAGUUCAGGAAAAAAGUGGCUUCUCUAUAAUUAAAAAUUUUACAUAUGUUCCACGUUCACUCAAAACUAUACAUAAAAGUAUAUAAUGCAUGUGCAGGAAUCAAUUUAGAUAGAAUUGAUUAAUGAUUAAGAAUUCUUCAUUAGCUUUUGGUUUUAAUAUUAUGGAAAAAUAUACAACGAUAUUUAAAAGAAGCUUCUCUUGACUUCUCUUAAAACUAAGGCUCUUGAAAGUAUAAACAUUAAGGUUAAAUAACGCUGGCAAGAAUACAAGGAAAUGACAUUGGUGUAUUGCUAAUGGUACUAGGAAAGUAUUCUGCAAGUAUCUACUAAAUUAAAAAUACAGUAGUGCCCCCUUAUCCAUGAUGAGUAAGUACAUUCCAAGAUCCCUGGUAGAUGCCUGAAACCUUGGAUAGUACUGGACCCUGUAUAUAUAUGUUUUUUCAAAGAAACCCAUGAUAAAAUUUAAUUUAUAAAUUAGGCACAAUGAAAGAUAAGCAACAAUAGCAAUAAAAUAGAACAAUUAUAACAAUAUGCCAGUAACACUACUCUUGCACUUUGGGGCCAUUAUUAAGUAAAAUUAGGGUUUCUUGAACACAAGCACUGUGAUACCUCAACAGUCAAUCUGAUAACUGAGGGCUACUAAGUGGAUACACCAGACAAAAGGAGGAUUCAUGUCCCAGGUGGGACAGAAAAGGACGGCGCAAAAUUUCAUCACACUACUCAGAACGGCAUGCAACAUGAAACUUAUGAAUUGUUUAUUUCUGGAAUUUUCCAUUUAAUAUUUUCAGACCAUAGGGAAAGCAAAACCACAAAUAAAGGGACUACUAUAUGUUGACCCACAUGAAGGAACUUAUUUCAUAAAAAUAAAAGGAGCAAAAUAUUUAAAAAAUAUGUAUAAGGGUGUUUAUUACAAUAUUAUUUGUCGUGACAAAAAACUGGAAACAAACUUAUUAUGGACUAUUCUGCAGUUAUUUAAAAUCACUAUCAAAUGACAAUAUCCAUCAGUUACUAAGAGAGGGGAAAGCAAGUAUUAGAGUAAUAUGUUUGCAUGAUUCUGUUUUUUAAAAAAAGUACACCAUCACAAUCAGUGUGAACAUUUAUUCAUUCAACAAAUAUUUAUUGAGUGCCUACUAUAUGCCAGACACUAUUUUAUGUUCUAGUAAUAGAGACAAACAAGAUAAUUAAGUAUUUUGAAUGAAUACAAUAUUUAGAAUGUUGAAAAGUGAAAAAUAAAGCAGAGAAGAGCAGAAAAGUGCUUGUGAAGAGGAAACUAAAACAUGAGGACAUCUAAGGGACAUUCAUGGAAGAUGCUGCUGACAGCACAAACAAAAAGAGGAUGGUCAGUAUGGAUAGAGCAAGGUGACUAAGAGAAAGAGUAAUAAAAAACAAGGCCAGAGAGGUUUAAGAAGUGGUGUGGGUAGGCAGAUCAUUACAGGAUCUUAAAAGGCCUUAUAGGUAAUUGCAGAGGUAAAGAUUUUAAAACAACCAUUAUCACAUUUCUAACUUCAGUUAUCUUAAAAUGAUGGCAGCUGUUCUUGUCUUUGUUUCACAGUUUAAACUGAGCACACUGUUAUAAUAAAAAAACAAAAAUUUAAAGAAUCAAAUAUAUAUUCUAUCACACAAACUGGCUCAAUUAUACUGCCUUGUAUUUAGCAGGCAUUAAAUAAAUGUUAGGUAGUGAAUAUAAAAACAGGUCAAGUAAUAGUUAUAGUGGUCAUUAUAUCUCUUAAUGCACUCAUAUUCUUUUAACAUUUUUAAAUGGCCAAAACAGCUACUUUUAAUUUGCUCAGAAUAUAAACCACAAAUUUUUAAAAAUGAAGAGCUUCCAAAAUAAAAUACAUUUUUUCAGAAAAUAGUAUUUUCAAAUUUAAAUUAGAAUAAAGUACUUCAAAUGAUUCAUAUUAAUGUAGGACAAAAUGUAGAACUUAAUAAAGAAAGCAAGUAUAGUAAAAAAGAAUGUAGCUAACAAGUCAAAAAACGCAUAUGCAUAAUUAUCACUGCAUCUCCUUUAUAAAUUUAAAUAGUAGAUGUUAAAUUUUAUAGCAUUUUGACCUUUUUAAAAAAAUUUUAUUUAUUUUUUGAGACGGAGUCUCACUCUGUUGCCCAGGCUGGAGUGCAGUGGCGUGAUCUUGGCUCACUGCAACCUCCGCCUCCCAGGUUCAAGUGAUUCUCCUGCCUCAGCCUCCAGAGUAAAUGGGAUUACAGGCAUGCACCACCACGUCCGGCUAAUUUUCGUAUUUUUGGUAGAGACGGUGUUUUGCCAUGUUGGCCAGGCUGGUCUCAAGCUCCUGACCUCAGGUGAUGUGCCCGCCUCGGCCUCCCAAAGUGCUGGGAAUACAGGCGUGAGCUACUGCGCCCAGCCACUGACCUUUUUAUAAAAGAUGAGAUAUGGCAGUUCCAUAAUAUUCAAUGCCAAACCAAUUAUUUUCCUAUGAUUACUAUUCAGUUAAGUUCUAGAGUACAGAAUUAUAGGGGAAAAUGUGGCAGAAAAGGGAAGUGAAGAAGCUAUAAGACUGUCCAAACUAUAUGCUGUUUUGGUGUAUUUUACUCCCCAUGGGAAUAGAUGGGAAUGAUGUUGUAGUCUGCCUGAAAGAGAAAAGUACAAGAGAAGUCACCCAUUUAAAAAGUGUACUCAUUUGACAUUCCAAGAUUUGUAUUUCACUAGUUGGUUAUGCCUUGGUAGUGCAUUUGGUACUUGUGAUAAACCUGUUGGCAAUAAAUUACAAGGUCUAAAACAAUAAAUUAUAAGAUCAAAAAACAACAGAUGUGGUUGAGGAUUAAGAGAUCAUUAGCUGAGAUAAGACUAAAAUCCAGAACUAGAAGCUAAGUUUUCUGACUUCCAGAUCAAUGUAAUUCCUAUAACAAAAUUUUGUUAGUUACAAAGAAGCUUUCAAUGAUGUUCAAUGUACUCAUAAUUCUCUCCACGAUUUGAGCCAAAUGUAGAAAGAAAUCAUGUACGUAAUUUAAAGCAAACAAAACAAAACAAAAAGACGGAUUACAAAUCAAAAGAAGAGAAAACAAGAUGGAAAAAAGUGGGUAGUUUUCAUGUGUAAAGAUUAUUGUUACCUUUUCCAAGUCUAACUCCUCUAACAAAAUGCUGGCGUUUUUGUUUGCUUCAGCAGCCUGUCUAUCUUUGGCUUGUACUAUUGACUCCAUACAAAGAUGACACUUCUUCAGCAUCUCCUAUAAUGAAAAAUUAAGAUUUUUCCAGGCUCACAGAACAAUUCUCACUUAGAGAAAUUCCUAAAAACACGAAGAUCUUUAGUAAGGUACUCAAACCUAAGCAAUAAAGAUCCAUGAAAGGGGGAAAAAAGGUGUGCAAAUAAAAACGUAAUUGACAUGGUAUAUUUAGGAAUAUAUACAAAUGAAGAAUCAAAGAGUAGCUUUUGCUAUUCUUCAAAAUAAUAUCCAUUUAGCAGGCACUUCAGAAACUAAAGUCAUUUAUCCUCUAAUUUAAAU
rnacentral:lncRNA from 10 species